AUUGAACGCUGGCGGCAUGCCUUACACAUGCAAGUCGAACGGUAACAGGUCUUCGGAUGCUGACGAGUGGCGAACGGGUGAGUAAUACAUCGGAACGUGCCUAGUAGUGGGGGAUAACUACUCGAAAGAGUGGCUAAUACCGCAUGAGAUCUACGGAUGAAAGCAGGGGAUCGCAAGACCUUGUGCUACUAGAGCGGCCGAUGGCAGAUUAGGUAGUUGGUGGGAUAAAAGCUUACCAAGCCGACGAUCUGUAGCUGGUCUGAGAGGACGAUCAGCCACGCUGGGACUGAGAAAGGGCCCAGACUCCUGCGGGAGGCAGCAGUGGGGAAUUUUGGACAAUGGGCGCAAGCCUGAUCCAGCAAUGCCGCGUGCAGGAUGAAGGCCUUCGGGUUGUAAACUGCUUUUGUACGGAACGAAAAGCCCCGGGUUAAUACCCUGGGGUCAUGACGGUACCGUAAGAAUAAGCACCGGCUAACUACGUGCCAGCCGCCGCGGUAA
rnacentral:rRNA from 1 species